GGUCUGUGUGUUUUCGAUGGUUCUGGCAGGUGAAAGCUGCGCCGGAUGAAAAGGGAACACGGUAAGGCGUAGCCAACAGGCACCGAAUCCGUGACUGCCCCCGCAACUGUACGCGGUAAGCCUGCUUGCAACAGCCACUGAACCCGCGCUUUGGGUUUGGGAAGGCGCAAGUCGGCGUUGACCCGCAAGUCAGGAGACCUGCCAUCAUAGGUCAACCAAC
rnacentral:ncRNA from 2 species